GACGAACGCUGGCGGCGUGCUUAACACAUGCAAGUCGAGCGGUAAGGCCCUUUCGGGGGUACACGAGCGGCGAACGGGUGAGUAACACGUGGGUGACCUGCCCUCAGCUCUGGGAUAAGCCUGGGAAACCGGGUCUAAUACCGGAUAUGACUCCAUGACGCAUGUUGUGGGGUGGAAAGCCUUGUGCGGCUGGGGAUGGGCCCGCGGCCUAUCAGCUUGUUGGUGGGGUGAUGGCCACCAAGGCGACGACGGGUAGCCGGCCUGAGAGGGCGACCGGCCACACUGGGACUGAGACACGGCCCAGACUCCUACGGGAGGCAGCAGUGGGGAAUCUUGCGCAAUGGGCGAAAGCCUGACGCAGCGACGCCGCGUGAGGGAUGACGGCCUCGG
rnacentral:rRNA from 1 species